AGUGAACGCUGGCGGUAGGCCUAACACAUGCAAGUCGAACGGCAGCACAGGAGAGCUUGCUCUCUAGGUGGCGAGUGGCGGACGGGUGAGGAAUACAUCGGAAUCUGCCCAGUCGUGGGGGAUAACGUAGGGAAACUUACGCUAAUACCGCAUACGACCUUCGGGUGAAAGAGGGGGAUCGCAAGACCUCUCGCGAUUGGAUGAGCCGAUGUCGGAUUAGCUAGUUAGCGGGGUAAUGGCCCACCAAGGCGACGAUCCGUAGCUGGUCUGAGAGGAUGAUCAGCCACACUGGAACUGAGACACGGUCCAGACUCCUACGGGAGGCAGCAGCGGGGAAUAUUGGACAAUGGGCGCAAGCCUGAUCCAGCCAUACCGCGUGGGUGAAGAAGGCCUUCGGGUUGUAAAGCCCUUUUGUUGGGAAAGAAAUCUUUCAGGCUAAUACCCUGGGAGGAUGACGGUACCCAAAGAAUAAGCACCGGCUAACUUCGUG
rnacentral:rRNA from 1 species